rnacentral:hammerhead_ribozyme from 1 species
AUCCAGUUGACGAGUCUCAAAUAGGACGAAAUGCACACUGUCUUGGAU